rnacentral:rRNA from 1 species
CAGUAGCCGCGGUAAUACGUAGGGCGCAAGCGUUGUCCGGAAUUAUUGGGCGUAAAGAGCUCGUAGGCGGUCUGUCGCGUCUGGUGUGAAAUCCCGAGGCUCAACCUCGGGCUUGCAUCGGGUACGGGCAGACUAGAGUGCGGUAGGGGAGACUGGAAUUCCUGGUGUAGCGGUGGAAUGCGCAGAUAUCAGGAGGAACACCGAUGGCGAAGGCAGGUCUCUGGGCCGCAACUGACGCUGAGGAGCGAAAGCAUGGGGAGCGAACAGGAUUAGAUACCCGUGUAGUCCCUGUCUCUUAUAC